rnacentral:lncRNA from 1 species
GGGUAUCCAACAUCAUAAUUAUCUCAUAAAAGACACCAACUCAGGAUUUGAAAGUCUUUACACAGUAUCUUCUGUGAUGCCGAGCUUGCCAAAGACAGUCCAUUUGGGUUGAGGAAUCAAAAUAAAGCAUUAUGAAUUCAGGUGAAAGAGUCUCAAGGCAUGCCUGGUUUCUCCAAUCCAAACCAAUCAAUGUUUGAAAUGUAAACUUGGAAUUCUGAUUCCAUUUCUAUUGUAGGACUAGGGAAAUGAAGGGAGCAUGCUUGCACGCUUCUCCCAAGCAAGAUUCGUGUUAUUUUGACACGGGGCAAAUGUUCCCAAAACAUCUUGGUAAUAUGUCCACAUGUAUAAGUAUCAAAGGCUAUUCUGAAUGAGUUACCAAGGUACAUGCAAAUCUAGUUUUCACUAACUUUUUUUUUUUAAUUAAACAUCUCUCUUUGGCGUUACCCACCUAGACAAAGACACUCCUUUUGGCAACAUAGUUGUUAACCUUUUUUCUUUUUUUAAAUGAAACAUCUGUCUUUGAUUUGACCCACUCAUAGACAAAGGCACUAUUUUUGGCAAAAUUGUUAAUUUAGGUACCAUGAUUCAUUAGGAGUGACAAAACAUGAUGGAGAAAACUUUCCUGGAAGUUUUGAUGGAAUGAGCAAGGGAAGUUUAAUUUUUUACCUAUUGAUGUAUGUGUCAAAUUCCCUUCAGGAACCACAGCUCAAUGCAUCCUUUGUCAAUUCUUUGGCUUCCCAUCUGCCCUUGAUGGGAAUAGUAUUUGAUGUACAAUGGAUUUAUGACCCAUCCCAUAAUAUGGUGCCCUCUCUGUGGAGGUGUCUUGUGUUGCUUUAGGAAACCUCAGAAGUGCAGUAGCUACCUUAUUUCCUUGAACCCAAGAAAGCUUGGUCAUAGAACACACCCUAUUCCAUGGUUCUCUGAAAGAAAAAACAUUGCCAAUCAAACCAGUGGCUUAAGGUUUUCUUAUCACACCAUUUCUCUUUUAUCCUUAAUUCAAACAAGUCUUUCAAAUGGAUGUUAGGCCAUAUUCAUAUGUUCAUAAAACAGCACACAUAUAAAGCAAAUCACAUAAGGGGUCUGUGAAAUUUUUUGCAAACUUUAGAUUUUGAUUGUUCACAUCUUGACACCAUCCUAUAAUCUCCCAUGUCUUUAGUAUUUUGUUAAUGUGUCAUUCAUGGUAUAAUCUUCCCUGUCAGUAGUAUUUGUUAGUGUGUCAUUCUGGGCUAUGCGGUCACCACCUAUAUGAAAAUACAACCAGGUCCUGAAAAGUGCACACAUCAUUCAUAGAAAGGUCCAGUGAUCAAAAAAAUACACUGUGGUGUGUAUUCCCUUGGUCAAAAAGUUGGCCAUGGCAAAGAAAUUCUCCUUGUAACUAACUCCCCCCACCUUCUUCCAGUCAUGACACAGAUUAUUUUUGGCACCUUGUAAUAUUUAUAAAACUAGAGUCAUAGAAUAUUUUUCUGCAUCUGGCCUCUAAUGCUUAAUGCUAUGUUUGUGGCAUUCUCCAGUACUGUUUGCUUCGUGGUGGUACAUUCAUUUUCAAUACCAUGUGAUGGUUUAUGCUAUACAAAUACUGUCAUUUAUUGGUUGAAACUAUCAUUGAUGGAUGUUUGAUAUGUUUCCCAUUGGGGGCUAUUAUAAAUAAUGCUGGUGAGCACAAUUGUGCAUAUAUGCCUAAAAGUGAAAUGGAUGCGUUUUCACGGAUAUCUAUGUCCAUCUGUACAUACAUGUUUCAAAGAGCUGGUAUUUACACUCUCUCCCAGCAUUCCCGUAAUAGUCUAUAUCUGUGCUAUCCCACGUGGUGGCCACAGUCACACAUCAUCACUUCAAUUUAAUGACUAAAGAUAAAAUUUUAAAUUGAGGUCUUCUGGAGUUCCCAUGGUGGCUCAGCAGUAAUGAAUCUGGCUAGUAACCAUGAUGAUGUGGGUUCUAUCCCUGACCUUGCUCAUGGGUUAAGGAUCCGGCAUUGCCGUGAACUGUGGUGUAGGUCGCGGACGUGGCUCGGAUCCUGUGUUGCUGUGGCUCUGGCGUAGGCUGGUGGCUACAGCUCUGAUUCGACCCCUAGCCUGGGAACCUCCCGUAUGCUGUGGGAGUGGCCAAAGAAAUGGCAAAAAGACAAAAAAAAAAAAAAAAAAAGGUCCAUUAGGUAGAACCAUUUCAUAUCCUUGCAAGGCUCGGUAUUUUAAGUUUCUGUAAAUUUAGAAAUUCAGAUAAGUGUGUAAUGGUAUCACUUUGUGCCUUUUUAAAAAUUUUAUUUUUAGGGAGUUCCUGUUGUGACUAAGAGGGGUAAGAACCUGACGAGUAUCCAUGGGGAUGUGGGUUUUGUCCCUGGCCUCACUCAGGAGGUUAAGGAUCCAGUGUUCCUGUGGCUGUGGUGUGAGCUGGCACCUGAAGCUCAGAUUUGACCCCUAGCCUGGGAACUUGCUUAUGCCACAGGUGCAGCCCUAAAAAGAAAAAAAAUAUUUUAUUAAAGCAUACUUGAUUUAAAGUGCUGUCCUUGUUCCUUGUGUACAGCAGAGUGACUCAGUUAUAUACACACACAUUUUUUUUCUGUGUCUUUUUCCAUGAUGGUUUACCACAGGAUAUUAAAUAUAGUUCACUGUGCUCUGCAGUAGGACCUUGUUUAUAAAUCCUGUAUGUAAUAGUAGGAACUGCUAAACCCAAACUCCCAAUCCAUCCCACUCCCCUCCUCCCCUUUGGCAACCACAAGUCUGUUCUCUCUGUCUGUGAGGUCUGUUUCUGUUUUGUAGAUAGGUUCAUUUGUGCCCUAUUUUAGAUCCUACCUAUAAGUGAUAUCAUAUGGUAUUUUUCUUUCUCUUUCUGACUUACUUCAUUUAGUAUGAGGGUUUCUGGUUUCAUCCAGUUUGCUGCAAAUGACAUUAUUUAAUUCUUUUUUAUGGCUGAGUAAUAUUUCAUUGUAUACAUGUACCACAGGUAUACAGUAUUUUCUUUGGAGAAUUGUCUGUUUAGGUCUUAAGCCUAUUUUUCAAACUGGGUGUUUUUUUUUGGUAAUGAGUUGUAUGAAAUGUUUGUAUAUUUUGGAAACUGAGCCCUUGUCAGUCACAUCAUUUGCAAAUAUUUUCUCCCAGUCCGUAGGUUUUUUUUCUCAUUUUAUUUAUGAUUCCCUUUGCUGUGCAAAAGCUUACAGGUUUAAUUAGGUCCCAUUUGCUUAUUUUUGCUUUUACUUCUGUUGCCUUGGAAGACUGACCUAAGAAAAUAUUGAUACAACUUAUGUCAGAGAAUGUUUUGCCUGUGUUCUCUUCUAGGAGUUUGAGGGUGUCAUGUCUUAUAUUUAAGUCUAUAAGCCAUUUUAAGCUUAUUUUUGUGCAAGGUAUGUGGGCAUAUACUUUGUGCUUUGAAUUUGCAGUUGUCUGGUUGGUAAGAAGUUCAGGUAACUCUUCUUGUUUCCUAAAAAUUUAGAGAUUCUCUUGUAAAGUACCUAUUAAAGUGUCUUCCUUGCAUUUUUAUAUGGUUACCUAUCUUUUUACAUUUUUUGUGAUGGAUGGGAAGAAGUCUGAUGGAUUGUCUCUUCUGCUAUAUUGAGCUCUUUCCCAGCUCUGUGUGUUGCAAAUACCCCCUCCUGUGUACUGCUUUCCUUUUCACUAACGUAUGAGUGACCCCAGUUGAAUAGAGAGUGUUUGUUUUGAGUCCAUAAAUUUUCCAGUCUCUAAGGUCUGUUCUUUUUGUGUGCUGUGUGUGAAAAAUUGGCCCAUCUCAAGGAUGCAAGGUGUUCAUUUCUUGGGAUGGAUACAUCCAUGGAUAUUGUAGAAAAGGGAAAUAUUAACCAUUCCAUGCAUUGAAAAAGGAACAUACAGAUGGAGCUCAGCCAAAAGGACCUCCAGUAAUGUGUCACCUUGAUGGAGGCAGACUCUUUCCCCUGAGAUUCUAAAAGAAGGUCAACAUACAAAUAUUUCAUGUCUAUUCUAGUCGUAGGUUCAAGAUGACCAUAUGCCAUCUAUGAAAACCCAGGUAUUAUUGUAUUAUAGACCUCUUCUUUUUCGUGAUUAAAUUACUUGUAAGUCCAUUCUGUUGUUCCUGGCAUUUUAGAGGCAUUUGAGACCCAAAUAUUUAUCAGAAUGUAAUAAUAUGAGGGCACUGUCUUUUAAUGUCCCCAGGGCAGGUGAGCCAUUGGGUGGGAAAACAUCAAAAUGAACACACACAACCAUUAGGUACCUCAAUCCCUACCUCAUGCACGACACAAAAUUAAUUGCAUUUAGGUGAAAGAUGUAAUUUCAAGAGAAAAGAAAUCAAUGGAGUAUAUUGUCUUAAGUAUCGAUAGAACACUGGGAUGCUGGCAGAUGUUGUUAGCAUGAAUCUAAAUACAAAAGACAGAAAGGAAGCUGCCUGGCCCCAUCCACAACUGCCACCAACCUCUUCCCAAACUCCAAGCCUCAGUGUUCCCGCCCUCCACAUCCAAGGGACACCAGGUCAACCUCAGAUUAUAACUCAUACAUUUCUUGCCCACCAACACAGCAGAUCUCCUUGGGAAACAACUGAACCAAUCAUACCCCAUCACACACUUACCAAAAUGGAUAACUACAUAUUUAUUUCUGUAUGUGUAUGUGUGUGUGUGUUUAAGUUUACUUAACAACGUUUCGCCUCCAGUACAUUAAUGGUGGAAGGAAGAAAUAAGAUGUCUUGUACUCAUCAUUGAUACCCCAGCACUGGCAUCUCUUUCCCGUCAAUGGGACGCAAAAAUUUUUUUUUGGUCUUUUGUCUUUUUUUUAGGGCUGCACCCGCGGCCAUGUGGACGUUCCCAGGCUAGGGGUCGGAUCUGAGCUACAGCUGCCAGCCCACACCACAGCUACAACAAUGCGGGAUCCGAGCCACAUCUGCAACCUACCCCACAGCUCAUGGCAACGCAGGAUCUUUAACCCACUGAGAAAGGCCAGGGAUUGAACCCACAGCCGCAUGAAUACCAGUUGGGUUCGUUAACCACUAAGCCACGAUGGGAACGCCUCAGAAAUAUUGUUUGAUGGAAAAAAAUUAUAGAUUUCACUCUCCAGAUAAUAGAUUUCACUGUCCAGAUAAAUUCCCAUUGAUUGGGCUUAAAAAUAUUUUUUGAUGGAAAAAAAUUGUACAUUCCACUGUCCAGUUAAAAAGCUUCUCUAGGGAGUUCCUGUUGUGGGGCAAAGAAAACAAAUCCGACUAGUGUCCAUGAGGAUGUGGGUUUGUUCCCUGAAUUCACUCAGUGGGUUGGGGCUUUGGCAUUGCCAUGAGCUGUGGUAUAGGUUGUAGACAUGGCUUGGAUCCUGCGUGGCUGUGGCUGUGGCUGUGGCAUAGGCUGGCAUUUACAGCUCUGAUUCGACCCCUAGCCUGGGAACUUGCAUAUGCCACAGGUGCAGCCCUAAAAACCAAAAAAAAAAAAAAAACCCCAAAAAAGCAAGCUUCUGUACAAUAUGAAGGAAAUAUCCAUGACAAAUGGACAGAGAAUAGCUUUUUAACACAUAUAACAUAUGUAAUAUAAAGAGCCCUUAAAAUUGAUAGGAAAAUAUUAGUAAAAAUCAAAUGAUGGCUUAGGUUAAAACAGCUAUGUGCAAAGGCAUUUAUACAGCCUAUAAACGUAGGAAAAACAUAGGAAAAUGUUUAAAUUCACUAAUACACAAAAAUGCUUAUUUUUUAACUUUUAUUUAUUUUAAUGAUUUUUAUUUUUUCCAUUAUAGCUGAUUUACAGUGUUCUAUCAAUUUCCUACUGCACAGUAAGGUGACCCAGUCAUACAUACACAUACACAUUCUUUUUUCUCAGAUUAGCAUGUUCCAUCUCAAGGGGCCAGAUAGAGUCCCAGUCCUGUACAGCAGGAUCUCAUUGCUUCUCCAUUCCAAAGGCAAUCAUUUGCAAAAAAAA